UCCAUCAUAGCUGUGGAGAAAUCAGUUGUUAGACUUACUGCUGCUUCUUUGAAGGUUGACUUCUUUCUGUGGUUGCUGGUAAGAUUUUUUAAUCUUUGUCUUUCUUUUCUGCAGUGUUCCAUUGCCUUUUGCUACGUAACAAACAAUUCUGUGGACAGAUUGAAUUUUCCAAAGAUGAUUAUGACAAAUAACUCCCAUCUCACAUGCCCUUCUAGAAACUUGCCAUUCCCCUAUCAGGAGAUAGUCUUUACACAUUUUCCUUGCACCUAAUGUCUCUGUGUCUGCCUCAACGAGUAGAGUACAGCUGAAGCAAUGAUAUGUGACUUCCAAAGCUAAGUCAUAAAAAGGCCAUGUAUUUCUGCCUUCCUCUCUUGGACCAUUCAUUUUUGAAACCCAGAUAUCAUGCUGUGAGGAAGCUCAAGCAGCCUGUGGAGAAAUUCAUAUGCACAGGAAUCACAACUGGCUUUAGGACUAGGUGGCAGGUAGAAAUUGGAAGGGCUCCAGGGAGACUAUAAAGGGACUCAUGAAGGCCAUUAUUGAUGACCUAAAGGAAAGUAAAAUAAAUUUAUUGGAAGCUAGAGGCAACACUGACACCUGCAGUAAUGUGAAAAAGGGUAAAUAUACCUAAUGAAUUCAAUGAUCUAGCUAAAGUGAUUUCCCAGCUGAGUACUGACAGUGACACCUGGCUUCUCCUUGCUGCCUAUGACAAAAUAUACAAGAGGAAGAGGUGAGCUAAGAACUGCUAAAUAGGAAGCAACCAGGACUUGCCAAGCUUGGCAAUAAUAAUGUUUCUCCUUUCCAGCUUCUCCAGAUGGUAAAUUAUUCUGUAAUUAUUCUAUAAUUAAGACUGGACCUCAGAGCAAAGUCAAACCUAGGGUGGCUCUGUGGGAGAGACUUUGUAAAGACCUCAAAGAUUCAAGGUAGUGCUUCAUAGAACAUUUCAGAAUGACAAAGUUCCUCUAAAGAUUUUAAGGUGCACCUAACAGAUCCUGUCUAUUAUAUAACAGAAUUUAUGGGAAUCUUAAGGAUGUUUGCCUGCAGCAUUCUCCCAAGGAGCCCCAGAUAGAAAAGUUCCUAUCUCAAACAGAUUUGUAGUGGUGUGUUGUCUAAGGAAUUGAACCCCACUGAUAUAUAUAUAUAUCUUUUUUUUUUUUUUUUUUUUUGCGGUAUGCGGGCCUCUCACUGUUGUGGCCUCUCCCGUUGUGGAGCACAGGCUCCGGACGCGCAGGCUCAGCGGCCAUGGCUCACCAGCUCAGCCGCUCCGCGGCAUGUGGGAUCUUCCCGGACUGGGGCACGAACCCGUAUCCCCUGCAUCGGCAGGCAGACUCUCAACCACUGUGCCACCAGGGAAGCCCCCCCACUGAUAUUUUUUAGAAAACCUACAUAAUUCUUAAGAGAAUGGUUCUGGUGGAAGCACAAUGAGUUUGAACUAAAAGAGAUAGAAACAGUGCAAAAUAAAAAGAGAUCUUUGGAUGCCUCAUCUUUUUCAUCCAGGAAGCAGAUCCAGGAGGCUUUUUUUGCUAAUUUAAUUUUCUUAUGGGAAAUACAGGUUUCAACUCAGAGGGUGGAACCAAGAGCUACAGAGAACAACUCACAGAGAGUAAACUGAGCACCAAUGGAAGAAUUGGUAACAUGUUCUCAGCGGGAUUUCAGAAUGGCUAGGGGCCAGUAAGGACACAGGAAGAAGGCAGCUGUCUGUAAGCCAGGAAGAGGCGCCACCAGGAACUGAAUCUGCCAGAACGUUGAUCUUGGACUUCCCAGCCUCCAGAACUGUGAGAAAUAAAUGUCUGUUGUUUAAGCCACCCCAUCUAUGGUAUUUUGUUACAGAAGCCUGAGCUGACUAAGACAUAGUGCUGUUGGAAUAUGUGGCUGAUGUCUUUGUCAGCUUUAGAAAAUUCUCAGCCAUUAUCUCUUCAAAUACACUUACACGAUACUUUGUAGCCUUGAUAUCAGAGAAAGUGAUGAUGAUGCCUCUAAGAAUGUCACAGUAUGAUUUUCCAAAGUCUGUUCUUACAGCCAGGAAGCAAAAAGGAAAAUAGCUCAUAGUCAAUCACCUUUGGAACAGAGUUUUGACUUGACCAUCCAGAGCCAGAUGAUCCCCUUCUUACCGUAACUCCUCUCAGAGGAUUCUUCUCUAAUCUCCGUGAGAAAAAGAGACUAUCGUGCUGGACACACGGCAAACAAAUCUUAAACUCACUGGCAAAUUUGGGAAUUGGUUGCAAACUUCCAGAGAGUCAUCCACUAGAGAAUGCUGAGUCAUUGGAGCCUGUCAAUUUCAGAGCUUCAUUCAGGUUGAAUUAAAGCAUCAAUGUUCCUGGGCAUCUGUGUGGAACCAAAUUCUGUUCCAAGAAUGAAUUCUGCAAUAUUAAUCCAUCUGACAAAGAAAGUGGAGUAGAAGAAAUCUCUGUGAAGAAUAGAGCAGAAUCAAUGCACCUGGCACAGGUGAGUGCAAAGUGACACCCUCUCUGGAGGUAGUUCUAGAGAGAAUGAUAAAGGACAUUAGGAGAACCUGGGUGUGUUGAAGCAUGUAGCACAGCGCUUCUUCAAAGUAGUCCAGGUGU